rnacentral:rRNA from 1 species
AUUGAACGCUGGCGGCAGGCCUAACACAUGCAAGUCGAACGGUAACAGGAAGAAGCUUGCUUCUUUGCUGACGAGUGGCGGACGGGUGAGUAAUGUCUGGGAAACUGCCUGAUGGAGGGGGAUAACUACUGGAAACGGUAGCUAAUACCGCAUAACGUCGCAAGACCAAAGAGGGGGACAUUCGGGCCCCUUGCCCUCGGAUGUGCCCAGAUGGGAUUAGCUAGUAGGUGGGGUAACGGCGCACCUAGGCGACGAUCCCUAGCUGGUCUGAGAGGAUGACCAGCCACACUGGAACUGAGACACGGUCCAGACUCCUACGGGAGGCAGCAGUGGGGAAUAUUGCACAAUGGGCGCAAGCCUGAUGCAGCCAUGCCGCGUGUAUGAAGAAGGCCUUCGGGUUGUAAAGUACUUUCAGCGGGGAGGAAGGGAGUAAAGUUAAUACCUUUGCUCAUUGACGUUACCCGCAGAAGAAGCACCGGCUAACUCCGUG